CUGUUCAGAAGAUGUUCUUGAUUGUAGAGGAGAGGAAUCUAUAAGAAAACGACAACGAUGGGGUUCUUUCAGGGCCUUAGGCACAGACAGAAAAAGAGAUGUCCAUCUUCAGAAGGUUAACUGGGGACAAUUCUCUGGACUUUGGAUAUUAUGCUGUACAUUCAGGAACUGAACUGAACUCUAAAGCAUCACUAUUUAUUGGAAUAUGUUGCUGUAAAAUUAUUUAGUGUGUAGAGAAGCUUUGGAUCACUUUUUAUUCACAUUAGAUUCUUUUUGACUGCACUGAUAUUUCUCUACACUUCAGUGCCUUUAACUUAAGUAGUUGGUACAGAAACCAAUUUACAUCCAAGAAAAGACAUUAGCAAAAAGAUGGAGACCAAUGGUUUUGUGUUCGAGUCAGUGCACAUAGCUGAAACUAAUUUAUUUCUGUGAUGGGACAUGCUGUCAGCCAAGACACAUGUACUAUAUUUAUAGUAUGUUUAUUCAAAGCAGCAGUCACAGCAGAAAUGAAAUCAUUUAGCCAUUGCAGAACCAACAGGCUUCAAAUACAGCUUUCACACAUUUCAUUUUGCUUAGUUUCUAAUCAAUACUGAGAACAAUAUUCUUCAACCAGAGAAUUUGCUGUAAUUAAAAUGGGAGGUGCUCUGCUCUGCAAA